CACACACACACACAGUCAGACACAAACACACACACACACAGACACAUACACAAACACACACACACACACAGUCAGACACAUACACAGUCAGACACAAACACACACACACACACAGUCAGACACAAACACAUACACAGUCACAUACACACACACACAGUCAGACACAUACACAGACACACACACAGUCAGACACAUACACAGACAC